CCUACGGGAGGCAGCAGUAGGGAAUCUUGCGCAAUGGGCGAAAGCCUGACGCAGCCAUGCCGCGUGAAUGAUGAAGGUCUUAGGAUUGUAAAAUUCUUUCACCGGGGACGAUAAUGACGGUACCCGGAGAAGAAGCCCCGGCUAACUUCGUGCCAGCAGCCGCGGUAAUACGAAGGGGGCUAGCGUUGCUCGGAAUUACUGGGCGUAAAGGGAGCGUAGGCGGAUAGUUUAGUCAGAGGUGAAAGCCCAGGGCUCAACCUUGGAAUUGCCUUUGAUACUGGCUAUCUUGAGUAUGGAAGAGGUAUGUGGAACUCCGAGUGUAGAGGUGAAAUUCGUAGAUAUUCGGAAGAACACCAGUGGCGAAGGCGACAUACUGGUCCAUUACUGACGCUGAGGCUCGAAAGCGUGGGGAGCAAACAGGAUUAGAUACCCUGGUAGUCCACGCCGUAAACGAUGAGUGCUAGUUGUCGGCAUGCAUGCAUGUCGUGACGCAGACUACGACAUAAGUACGACUCCGCCGUCGGGAGGUACGGUCGGCGAAGAAGUUAAACGUUAACUUAAAGUUAGUAAGUUAGUUACGGCGUUGAGGACGUGCCGACGGACGACGACGAGGGAGGAGG
rnacentral:rRNA from 1 species